rnacentral:rRNA from 1 species
AUUGAACGCUGGCGGCAUGCCUUACACAUGCAAGUCGAACGGCAGCACGGGAGCAAUCCUGGUGGCGAGUGGCGAACGGGUGAGUAAUACAUCGGAACGUGCCCAGUAGUGGGGGAUAACCCGGCGAAAGCCGGACUAAUACCGCAUACGACCUACGGGUGAAAGCAGGGGAUCGCAAGACCUUGCGCUAUCGGAGCGGCCGAUGUCAGAUUAGCUUGUUGGCGGGGUAAAAGCCCACCAAGGCGACGAUCUGUAGCUGGUCUGAGAGGACGACCAGCCACACUGGGACUGAGACACGGCCCAGACUCCUACGGGAGGCAGCAGUGGGGAAUUUUGGACAAUGGGCGCAAGCCUGAUCCAGCCAUGCCGCGUGCGGGAAGAAGGCCU